rnacentral:rRNA from 1 species
GGCUACGACCAUGCCACCCUGAAUGUGCCCGAUCUCAUCUGAUCUCAGAAGCUAAGCAGGGUCGGGCCUGGUUAGUAACUGGAUGGGAGACCACCUAAGAAUAUCACAUGCUAUAGGUG